CCAUUUAGUGGGGGACAACAUUCCGAAAGGAAUGCUAAUACCGCAUACGUCCUACGGGAGAAAGCAGGGGAUCUUCGGACCUUGCGCUAUCAGAUGAGCCUAGGUCGGAUUAGCUAGUUGGUGAGGUAAUGGCUCACCAAGGCGACGAUCCGUAACUGGUCUGAGAGGAUGAUCAGUCACACUGGAACUGAGACACGGUCCAGACUCCUACGGGAGGCAGCAGUGGGGAAUAUUGGACAAUGGGCGAAAGCCUGAUCCAGCCAUGCCGCGUGUGUGAAGAAGGUCUUCGGAUUGUAAAGCACUUUAAGUUGGGAGGAAGGGUUGUACGCUAAUACCGUGCAAUUUUGACGUUACCGACAGAAUAAGCACCGGCUAACUCUGUGCCAGCAGCCGCGGUAAU
rnacentral:rRNA from 1 species